UACGAAGGGGGCUAGCGUUGUUCGGAAUUACUGGGCGUAAAGCGCGUGUAGGCGGGCUUUUAAGGCAGGGGUGAAAUGCCGAGGCUCAACCUCGGAACUGCCUUUGAUACUGGAAGUCUUGAGUCCGGGAGAGGUGAGUGGAACUGCGAGUGUAGAGGUGAAAUUCGUAGAUAUUCGCAAGAACACCAGUGGCGAAGGCGGCUCACUGGCCCGGAACUGACGCUGAGACGCGAAAGCGUGGGGAGCAAACAGG
rnacentral:rRNA from 1 species